GCCAGCGUAGCUCAGUGGUAGAGCAGCGGUUUCGUAAACCGCUGGUCAAGAGUUCGACUCUCUUCGCUGGCUCCA
rnacentral:tRNA from 1 species